rnacentral:lncRNA from 1 species
UAUAUAUAUAUGUAUAAAAUUGAGCUCCUAUGCUUUUAAAAGUAUCAAAUCAUCUGUGCUUAUAAGUUUUUGACCUUUGGAUUAAGAGAUGUGCAAUUAGGAUGAUGUGGACCCCCUAGAGUUGAGUUAGUGGUUGGUUAAAUAAUAUAAUUUAACGGAUAAAAAUGAUCAAAAACGUAGAUCUAAUGGUAGAAAAUUUACAAGCACCAAGUGCUUGGUGCUUUUACAAGCACCAUAGCCGGACUAUAUAUAUAUAUAUAGAGAGAGAGAGAGAGAGAGAGAGUCCGGCUACUAUACUAUCAGUAGCACGGAGGGCUCCGUGCUUUUCGAUGAUGCGGCUUUCAAAUCGACAAUCGGCUCUGUUAGACUUGAUCUACACUAUUAAAAAUAUUUGGAAACUAAAUUUCAGCAUUUUUCUACAUCAUUUGACUAGUGAUCAAAAGAUCUCAAAAUUGACAAUUUUAAUGGCCGAUGUGGUGUGUUUGUGAGUUUAACGGUGUAAAACAAUCCAAAUCCGAUGAAAAUUUUAUAGAAAAUUCUUUUCACUAUUUAAAGUAAGAUCAGUAUAUCUGAUCUUGAAUUUAAAUCAUUUAUCAUCAUUUUUUAUGAGAUUUUUAUUUUCUGCCGCUCAAUUUUAGACUACUUAUUUGAUAGGUAAAUGAUAUCGAAAAAUUAUGAAAUUUAGUUUCUAAAUACUUUUAAUAGUGUAGAUCAAGUCUAACAGAGCCGAUUGUCGAUUUGGAAGCCGCAUCAUCGAAAACAACUUGGUAGCACGGAGCGCUCCGUGCUACUGAUAGUAUAGUAGCCUAGUUCUCUCUCUCUCUCUCUAUAUAUAUAUACUCCGUGCUACCGAUAGUAUAGUAGCCUAGUUCUCUCUCUCUCUCUCUAUAUAUAUAGAGAGUGGGCUGGUAUGCUUCUGGAAGCACGGAGCCCUCCGUGCUUCCAAGUUGUUUUCGAUGUUGGGACUUUCGAAUCGACGAUCGGCUCCGUUAGAGUUGAUCUACAGUAUUUGAAGUGCCUAGAAAAUAAAUUUUGUGAUUUUUUAAUAUCAUUUGCCUAGUGAUCGAAGGGGGUCAAAAUCAAUAAAUACACCAGAAAUUGUCACUCACUUAGCAUAU